rnacentral:rRNA from 1 species
AGCAGCCGCGGUAAUUCCAGCUCCAAUAGCGUAUAUUAAAGUUGUUGCAGUUAAAAAGCUCGUAGUUGAAUUUCGGGGUCAGCAGGUCGGUCGUGCCACUGGUAUGCACUGGCCUUGCCGAUUCCUCCCUCCUGAUGAGCCGUAAUGCCAUUAAUUUGGUGUUGCGGGGAAUCAGGACUGUUACUUUGAAAAAUUAGAGUGUUUAAAGCAGGCAAGCGCUUGAAUACAUUAGCAUGGAAUAAUGAAAUAGGACGUUCGAUCCUAUUUUGUUGGUUUCUAGGAUUGACGUAAUGAUUAAUAGGGAUUGUUGGGGGCAUUAGUAUUCAAUUGUCAGAGGUGAAAUUCUUGGAUUUAUUGAAGACUAACUACUG